AUUGAACGCUGGCGGCAGGCCUAACACAUGCAAGUCGAGCGGAUGAAGGGAGCUUGCUCCUGGAUUCAGCGGCGGACGGGUGAGUAAUGCCUAGGAAUCUGCCUGGUAGUGGGGGAUAACGUCCGGAAACGGGCGCUAAUACCGCAUACGUCCUGAGGGAGAAAGUGGGGGAUCUUCGGACCUCACGCUAUCAGAUGAGCCUAGGUCGGAUUAGCUAGUUGGUGGGGUAAAGGCCUACCAAGGCGACGAUCCGUAACUGGUCUGAGAGGAUAAUCAGUCACACUGGAACUGAGACACGGUCCAGACUCCUACGGGAGGCAGCAGUGGGGAAUAUUGGACAAUGGGCGAAAGCCUGAUCCAGCCAUGCCGCGUGUGUGAAGAAGGUCUUCGGAUUGUAGAGCACUUUAAGUGGGGAGGAAGGGCAGUAAGUUAAUACCUUGCUGUUUUGACGUUACCAACAGAAUAAGCACCGGCUAACUACGUG
rnacentral:rRNA from 1 species